rnacentral:rRNA from 1 species
UACACUCCUGCGGGAGGCAGCAGUGGGGAAUAUUGGACAAUGGGCGCAAGCCUGAUCCAGCCAUGCCGCGUGAGUGAUGAAGGCCCUAGGGUUGUAAAGCUCUUUUGUGCGGGAAGAUAAUGACGGUACCGCAAGAAUAAGCCCCGGCUAACUUCGUGCCAGCAGCCGCGGGAAUACGAAGGGGGCUAGCGUUGCUCGGAAUCACUGGGCGUAAAGGGUGCGUAGGCGGGUCUUUAAGUCAGGGGUGAAAUCCUGGAGCUCAACUCCAGAACUGCCUUUGAUACUGAAGAUCUUGAGUUCGGGAGAGGUGAGUGGAACUGCGAGUGUAGAGUUGAAAUUCGUAGAUAUUCGCAAGAACACCAGUGGCGAAGGCGGCUCACUGGCCCGAUACUGACGCUGAGGCACGAAAGCGUGGGGAGCAAACAGGAUUAGAAACCCUGGUAGUCCCAUG